rnacentral:rRNA from 1 species
CCUACGGGCUGCACCAGUGGGGAAUAUUGCACAAUGGGCGCAAGCCUGAUGCAGCCAUGCCGCGUGUAUGAAGAAGGCCUUCGGGUUGUAAAGUACUUUCAGCGGGGAGGAAGGCAGUGUCGUUAAUAGCGGCAUUGUUUGACGUUACCUACAGAAGAAGCACCGGCUAACUCCGUGCCAGCAGCCGCGGUAAUACGGAGGGUGCGAGCGUUAAUCGGAAUUACUGGGCGUAAAGCGCAUGCAGGCGGUCUGUUAAGCAAGAUGUGAAAGCCCGGGGCUCAACCUCGGAACAGCAUUUUGAACUGGCAGACUAGAGUCUCGUAGAGGGGGGUAGAAUUCCAGGUGUAGCGGUGAAAUGCGUAGAGAUCUGGAGGAAUACCGGUGGCGAAGGCGGCCCCCUGGACGAAGACUGACGCUCAGGUGCGAAAGCGUGGGGAGCAAACAGGAUUAGAUACCCCGGUAGUC